rnacentral:rRNA from 1 species
ACUCCUACGGGAGGCAGCAGUAGGGAAUCUUCCACAAUGGGCGCAAGCCUGAUGGAGCAACACCGCGUGAGUGAAGAAGGGUUUCGGCUCGUAAAGCUCUGUUGUUAAAGAAGAACACGUAUGAGAGUAACUGUUCAUACGUUGACGGUAUUUAACCAGAAAGUCACGGCUAACUACGUGCCAGCAGCCGCGGUAAUACGUAGGUGGCAAGCGUUAUCCGGAUUUAUUGGGCGUAAAGAGAGUGCAGGCGGUUUUCUAAGUCUGAUGUGAAAGCCUUCGGCUUAACCGGAGAAGUGCAUCGGAAACUGGAUAACUUGAGUGCAGAAGAGGGUAGUGGAACUCCAUGUGUAGCGGUGGAAUGCGCAGAUAUAUGGAAGAACACCAGUGGCGAAGGCGGCUACCUGGUCUGCAACUGACGCUGAGACUCGAAAGCAUGGGUAGCGAACAGGAUUAGAUACCCUGGUAGGAUAGCG